rnacentral:rRNA from 1 species
UGCCGCGUGUGUGAUGAAGGCCUUAGGGUUGUAAAGCUCUUUUUACACUGAGAAAAACUUAGUAUCUGUACCUUCUUGACGGGACAGUACCAAUACAGAAC